AUUUAGAAAUUAAACGACAUUACUGGUAAAAUUAUAUGGGAAAAUGGAUAUGAUGCUACAAAACUUCUUAAUAAUAAUACAUGUGUAACAAACAACAAAGGUUGGUCAUGAGCUAGCUACUACCUAAAGAGCUAGAUCAACAUCUAACUACCUCCUAUACUGUAAUUGCUUCUCUUUUCUUUUGUUUUGUCUUCCUUUUUGGGAUGCAAUAAAUACCAACAUGGCCAGUUUGUCAUCCCUGUACACCAGCCAUUAAUGUUUCUAAAAAAAAAAUUAAAAAAAAAUAAUAAUAAACAGAUUCUAUGAUUUUUGGGAGUAGAAUUUUCGUGUUCGUGCAAAAAGCACUAAAGCUAGGCCAGUCCCAAGAAAGCAAAGAGAACCCCAGAUGACGAAGUGCUUCUGUAGCAAGCCAUUCCCAUGCACCUCCCAUCUUCUUGAUUUCCUUCCUUGCGGUAACAUAGCGGACA
rnacentral:lncRNA from 1 species